GUUUCAUAUGUGUUAGUAUUGGCGUGCUGUCGUCAAACAUGAGCCGUUCAGUGAUAACUAUGACAAGUGCGUAGUGUGAAUGAGAAGUUGUCACAAGUAGUGUAAAGAAUUUUACGCGUGUAAUACGUACAUACAUGAGAAAAUAUUAAUAUUAUUAAUUUCUUAAUGAGAUGUUUGAGGUCGAACAGUUGCGUUGACAAGCUGAGAAAUAUCAACAGAAAAUUUAGUUGUGGUUAAGCGUAAUAAAUGUGACAAUGUCUCGUCAGUCAUUGAAGAUCGAUUGCUGUUUUUUAUAUUUUUCAUCGCAGAAAAUGUUUUUUUGCAUAAAUUGCAGAAAAACAUCAUUUUGUAAAUCGCAGAGUUCCAAUUGUAAAUGUUCCGGUUGAUCUUCUAUUUUUGCAGUAAGUGGAUUAUUAAAAAGAUUUAGAUCACUUUUCAUUCGAAAUCUGUAAAACAAUUUUGAAAUUCAUCAGAAACUUGCUAAACGAUAUUAUCUAAUGAGGAAAAUUUCAAAUAUGAAAAUUCGUCCUUCAACUCUAAACAAGAAGGAAAAUGGGUUAAAUUUUCUUUCUGAAGCUGAAGACAAAAUAAAUGAAGUCGAGCACGAAAACCAUUGAUAUAACUUACUAAUUCUGAAAUUCCCUGCUUUUCAUCUUGCAUUUUUAAAUUGAGCUCAUUCAUUUGAUAAGUGAAAUCAGUUAAAAAUGCCAAAUUUUGUUGAAAAUCAGAAGAACGUAAAGUUUUCUGUAUUUCAACAGUGUCGGGUUUAUUUUUUUCUAAAAAUAGUGGAAUUUUCCGAAGCGACAAAAAACGUUGAAGGCAUUUACCCGCAUUUAACCAACGAAUCUCGGUAUAAAUACUUAAAUCACCAUAUACCACAUUUAUCUCAUCUAAAAAGGCAUGGAAUUUUCUAUGCGUUAAGGAUCGAUUGUCUCCCUGAAUAAGUUGGCCUACAAAUCCUGUUUCAGUACCUGUCAUAGCCGGUGCUCCAUCAGUUGCGAUUGAUACGCAUUUUUCAAAUCCGCCAAUCAGAUCGACAUGAUUUUUCAAAGCGUUGAAUAUAUUCACGCCUUUGGUUGUACCAUAUAAAGAAGACAAACCUAGAAAUUUCUCGUGGACUUCGAAAUUAUCAAUAACUGUGCCGAUAAAAAUUAAUAAUUGAGAUAUAUCCGUGUGAUCAGUACUUUCAUCGAUACAUAAAGAAUAAAAUAGACAUUCAGCAAUAAGGUCAUAUAAUUUAUCUUUGACGUACAGUAACAUAUCUUCGACACUUUUAGUCACAGUUGUACGAGAUAAAGCAACUAAAUCAAAAUCAGAAGCAACUGUUUCGUGUCCAAAAGCACGUGCCAUUUAUAUUGCACAUUGUUUAAUAAGCGGGUCGUCAACCCUUAUAGAAAUAUC